rnacentral:rRNA from 1 species
UACGUAGGGUGCAAGCGUUAUCCGGAAUUACUGGGCGUAAAGGGCGCGUAGGCGGUUGGUUAAGUCCGUUGUGAAAUCCCCGGGCUCAACCUGGGAAUGGCGAUGGAUACUGGGCAGCUAGAGUGUGUCAGAGGAUGGUGGAAUUCCCGGUGUAGCGGUGAAAUGCGUAGAGAUCGGGAGGAACAUCAGUGGCGAAGGCGGCCAUCUGGGACAACACUGACGCUGAAGCACGAAAGCGUGGGGAGCAAACAGG